rnacentral:rRNA from 1 species
UACGAAGGUCCCAAGCGUUGUUCGGAUUCAUUGGGCGUAAAGGGUGCGUAGGCGGCGCGGUAAGUCGGGUGUGAAAUCUCGGAGCUUAACUCCGAAACUGCAUUCGAUACUGCCGUGCUUGAGGACUGGAGAGGAGACUGGAAUUUACGGUGUAGCGGUGAAAUGCGUAGAUAUCGUAAGGAAGACCAGUGGCGAAGGCGGGUCUCUGGACAGUUCCUGACACUGAGGCACGAAGGCCAGGGGAGCAAACGGG